AAGAUUUUAAGUUAAUUUAAACUAGUAAUCUUCAAAAUUAUUUAUAAAGAAAAUAAUAAUUCUUUAAAUCUUA
rnacentral:tRNA from 1 species